UGCGGCUGUGCCGUGAGCACAGAGCUAAGACUUCUUUCGCCUUUUACUAAAGAACACCGUGUGCUCGCCUCACCACAGCUGCAUACGCCUAUUUUUGGAGGGUUGUCCCUUAACUGGGAUGG
rnacentral:snRNA from 1 species